rfam:Daedalea quercina L-15889 unplaced genomic scaffold DAEQTscaffold_10, whole genome shotgun sequence.
GGUGAGAUGGCCGAGCGGUCUAAGGCGCCAGACUAAGGUAAUCUGUUCCCGCUUGGAGUUCAGUGAUUGUCUCGAAUCUGGUCCGAAAGGGCGUGGGUUCGAAUCCCACUCUCAUCA